GCUUGUCUUGCUUGCUUAAGUCAGUUCUUUUUAAAUAAUCAGUGUUCAUUCAUUGUUUUCCUCUCAUGAUGUAACCUUAUUUUGUGUAAACAUAUUUCCCCGUGGCCCUAGCAGUGGUAACAGGCCCUUUGCUACUACCAGGAGGAUAGUAAUAUCCUUUGGUAUUUCAAAGCAUAUUUCAAUAGAUUUCCUGCACCCUAAAAAUAGUUUCAUAAAUAGCUCCUCUGUGGCCUGUAGGGAGACAACAUUAAGGUUAGUGUUCCGUAGAAAGUCCCGCCACCCUCCCCCCAGGCUUCCUGACGUCAGGAGGAAAACCCUCAGGCCCUGCUCUGUUCUGCCCGACAACAACCAGAAGCCAAUCAUCGCAGCAGAAAAGCCCACCAAGCCCCGGCCUAUCCUGAACCGACACAUAACCCUCUGAGCUACCUCAGCAGUCUGCCCAGAGACGGACAGCCUAUCCUAAGCUGCUACGACACUCCGCCAGCCCUGUGUCCAUGCCCCGUCCACCCCCCUAUAAAAACCCUCCUACCCCAGCUAUGCAGUCGCAGCCAGCCCAGAUCUCCUUCCUUUCCUGGCCUGCCCGCUGGUCCCAAUAAACCUGAACUCAGCUUCCAACUCUCGAGCUGUUACUUGGGAUCGGGUACAAGACAGGGGUCUACAAGGGGGUCGUACAUUUGGUGCCGAAACCCGGGAGCGAGGGUCACUAGCCCCCCUAGCGACCCCCUCCCUCCAGCGACCUCUCCAGCCCUCCUCCAAUUCGGCCUCAGCACUCCGGACCAGGAGUGAACUUCAUGCAGGCCCCAUGAAGCCUCCAUGUAGGGUGCCGGAGACUUCUGAAGCCCAAGGGCACAUGUUGCAGUGCUCGUUUAGCUCUGCUGUCUGUGGAUGGCAUAAGCGUUAACAGCUCAUUGGGCCCUCCACCCCUUCACAUGAGGCAGCUGCCCUUGGCCAGUAAAGCAAAGAGUCAUCGUGACACCUGUUUGUAUCCACACUUGUGGCUCCCAAGCUCUCGUCUGGAAUCCAGGAAUAAUGAGACUCCAUGAACAAAUUGAAGGAUGGUAAAUGCGGAGUAUUUUAUUGCUGAUGAAAGUGGCUCUUGGCAAGAAGAGGAGCUAAAAAGGAGAUUGUGUGGGUAGGUAAUUUUCUCCCAAAGUUCAACCAUCCAUCUCCAGUCAGACUCUUCUCCAAAGUUACACCGUCAAACUGUCUCUCUAAAGUCAACCUGCUUUUGUUCAACCUCCAGUCAUAGUCUCUGACAUCCAGCUGGUUCUCUUCUUUCUUCUGACUGAGUGUGGGGUCUUUAUAGGCACAGGAUAGGAGAUGGGGUGGGCCAUAGGUAAUUGAGGAAAAGGCAACAUUCAUGAGGUGAAACAGGGACACAAUGUCUCAAUUUGGGCCAUGAUAACAGGCUGUUUGUCUUGAGGCUGGGGUUUUGUCAGGGACCCAUCAUUUUCUGCCCAGAAUUUCUUUCCCUCCUAUGCCUAUCACUUCAAGGUGAUUGGGUCAUGCGGGUGAAUCCCUCAGGAAUGUCUUGGGCCAUCCCCUUGGUGAUAAGUGAGCUCUAACUCUGAGCUCACUCAAGAUUCGGUGGUUUAAAAGUGUGUGGCACCUCCCCACCCACCCUCUCUCUUUUUCUUGCUUGCUCAUGCUUUCUCUAUAUGAAGUGCCUUCUGUUUUGUUUUCCAACUUGUUUGUAAGCUUCCUGAGGACUCCAUACAACCUGAUGCCAGAACUGUGCCUCCUGUACAGCCUUCAGAACCAUGAGCCAAUUAAAUCUCUUUUUUUAAAAUAAAUUACUCACUGUCAGACAUUUCUUUAAAACAAUGCAAGAAAGGCCUAAUAAAAUAAUGUUAACAAUCUGAGUCACCCAUGAUUUGGGGUAGAUUGAUUACAAAGACCAUAUAGUUUUACAAAGUAAUAAUUCAGCAUGUUUUACACUGUAAUCCCAUAGUCAGUGUCUGCGUAAACAUCAGAUCAUCCCCUGAACUAAUCUUCUGAAAGUCCUUUAUUUUAGCCAUUUCAGCAGUUGUUCAUAUCUGUCACUUAUAUAUAAAAUAAUAGAAUCAUAUUUAAAUGAUACUCUGGAC
ensembl:lncRNA